CACCUCCGGCAAUGGGCAAAGAGACACCUUGUUGCUGGUAUUGCUCAUAUAUCAGUCAGGGACAGAGCAGAGUCCUUUGUUCAUCCUAGCUUGAUGCUUGGCUUGGUGUCUAAAGCUAUUUUAUGCCUAGGAUCCAUAA